rnacentral:tRNA from 1 species
AUUUAAAUAGUUUAAUUAAAAUAUUGAUUUGUGGAGUCAAAGAUAUAAGAUAUUAUUUUAAAUA